CAUCAAGCCUUUGUGGGGAACAAGGUUUCUUGUAGAAUUCUUAGACUAGCAAUUUUUGUGUGAGAACUUUAACAUGAUAGAAAUUGUUAAACUACAAAUAUGGUCAACCAUGAAGCCAUCUGAGUCUAUAUUGUCUGAGAGAAAUUCUUACUCAAGAAUCUGCAUAUUGCUAUAGAUAUGCAGAGUACUUAUCUUGAAACAGUCGUAAAAUAUUAAUGUUUUUUGUUUUGUAGGUCACUUACUUUGCAUUCGUCCUUGGUGGUCACCCCAGGGUCUCUAGAGUGAAAAUUACUCAAUCUAUGGAUUAAACAGAAAAUGUAGUUUUAUGAAGUGCAAUUUGGGACAUUCUUCCAGUUGUCGGCAACUUUGUGAAAAAGGCUGGAAACUAAAAUGCAGAAUUCUGGCCUGGUGUUUGGUCCGUGCUGUCUUUGGCUCUUGCAUCUCCAUCAUCCUGACCCUCUUUAGCAGCCUGUCCAUGUAUUUAUUUGGAGGCCACCAUGAGCACCCAUCUGCAUAAUAUGACUUUGUUACUCAGUUGUCCAUGCUCCUACAAAUUCUAAAUUUUUUUGUAAAGCUGCAACAAGUUGAAACCCUAUAAUUAUUAACAUUUGAUUUUGAAUUAUGUAAUUCAAAUACAUGAAUAAGUAACAAAAGCAGAAAUAUAUUAAGACAUUACCUUUUUGUUGAUUGUUUACUGAUCUAUAAAUCAUUUUGCAUUCUCAUAAUUGAUCAUCAUAACUUGGUAUACAGUGGAUGUGUGGCUGUAGAUAACUUUCUGAAGUCAAUUUAAAAAGGCAAAAGUUAAUAAAUGCUAAAUUGGUCAAAUAUACAUUGUUGAUCUUAUUUAGGCAUUUCAUAACUUGAGGGAAAUUUACGUAUACUGAUGUUUCAAAUCAAAUAUUAAUUUAUUAAUGACAGCUAAUCAUUUUAUAAAGAUUUUUUAUAACAAUAUUUAUAUAUAUAAUAUCAAUUUAAUACAUUUAUUUCGUUACACCUACAUCACUGAGCGCAAGGGAGUGCAGCCAACAAAUACAUUCAGGUGUGUUUGACUUAACACCGAGAUGCGCAGACAGCACGUGGUAUGACAUCAAGUACCGCGAGAGUUUGGGAAACCCCCGGAAAGGUUUGAACUCGCGGUACUUGAUGUCACGAUCGGUUUGCGCGUAGAUCAGCAUGAAUUCAAACACAUCUGAGAGAUAUGUGGGCUGCCUGCACUCACCGUUGCGAUCAUUCAAUAGAGUGUAACCUCAAUCGGUUUUUGCAGCUUCUGGGUGUCGUGUAGAACGAUCACAGAACGAUUUUUUUGUUCUUUUCCAACUCGAUUUUUAACUCCCUAAACUAGUAGGAUGUUCCAACGGGUGAAGCAACAGUGCUGACGGCAGUUUCAGUGUCAAGUUUUCAUGCCAUGACCACUGGGGCGGAAACCAUUAUGACAUUGCCUUGGGCAUCAAACUAAACCAUCUCAUUCUGGCUUUUGAGGUGGAUUCUAAAUCUCAGAAGGACAGGUCUAAGAUGGAUGCAGCCUCCAUAGGAUGCAACCUUGCAUUUGAGAAACACCCAAAGAAUGGUCAACUUACCCCAUACUCUAACCUGAAUGCAGGGAUCAUAAAACUUUAUUUUUUACCUUAAUUGUUAGAUGGGUGUUGAUACCAAACUUUUUUUCUCGUCUACCCAGGAGAAAGUCAUGGGUUCUGCUGCUAAGGUUGUCAUAAACGUCUUUUAUUCUGCUUACCUGACUCAUGCAGAAUUCUGGCUUGAUGUUUGGUCCACCUGUUAGCUGGCUCUGGUGCUUGGUAGUCUUCUCAAACCUCUGAAUCAAGACCACCAUGAGAGGCGUCUGAAGACCAUCAUUACGCUUCAGAUCCAGUUGUCUUUACUAUGAGAUAGAACUGAACUGGAGUCUAUGAACUAAUGCUGUGUUCGAGACAACUUGGAUGUUGGAUAUUAUUGACCUUAAACCCGUAAGAAGUCAGGAACAGGAAACAAAGUGGAGUAUCCGACCUCUCAACUUGGAACAGAUCGAUAAACACCGACCUCAACGAGAUGCGUCAUUUGACAUUGCAGACAAGAUCCUUUCUCUUUUUAAUGCAGCACUUAAGGAUGAACCACCCUGAUCUACUAAGAUGCACAGAUUUAACUCUGGCCCAGCAUCAUCCCCAUACCUCAUCUGCCAUCAGUUUAAUUUAAUGUCUGUCAAUUGCAAAUGCUAUUUAUUUCAGUUAUAUUACAACUUAAUAUUAAAGGAAUAGUCUACCCUUUUGCCAUAUUAAACUAUGUUAUUACCUCAACCUAGAUGAAUUAAUAUAUACCUAUCUUUUUUCAAUGCGUGCACCGUACAGCGCGUUGUGAAUGUGUUAGCAUUUAGCCUAGCCCCAUUCAUUCCUAUGGUACCAAAAAAAGUUUUAUUUUGUGGCACCAUACUUACUGGUAUAACUCCUCAUGUAACAGUCUUUAAAUAGGGAAAACACGAAAGUGUUUGGUGGCUUCCCUGUUUGGUACCAUCGGAAUGAAU